CUUCACUCCACGAUACAUAGCUGCUCUCACUUGCAACCUUUUCUCAGUUGCUCUGACUCGAGUUUUAUAGGGCCACCAUCCUUGGAUUUACCAAUGUUUUUCAUAUUUACUUGGAAAGCAGACAGGACUACAGCCUUUUAACCAAUUUUAGCAUGUGGCAGCCUGGAGAGGGUUUUCUGCAAAGGCACCCAUCCUCUUGCACACAGAAGACCCAUUGCUGAAGACCAUUCUAAAGAGUCACCUCCUCCUUCCACACAACACAGUCCCUCCCCAUCUGGCAUCCCUUUCACUCUCUUCUCAGUCUCAACAAGAGCAGAGUGUGGCAAGCAAACAUGCUACUGCUGGUAGUGCUUGUUGCCACAGCCACUUGGUCUUAUGGAUUUGCACAGGAAAUUCCCGUGCAGAGUCCUAUAUCCAUCACCAAGUUCCAAAAAAGUGCACGAAUGACAUGUGAAAUUCAAACAUUAGGGGCAAAUUUUGAUAGUGCUGUCAUACACUGGUAUCUGCAGAAGGAGGGUGAAGCUCCAAAGAGGCUCUUGUUCCUUUCAGGAGGAAAACCUACCAUUGAAACUGGCUUUCAAGCAAGCAGAUAUAUGGUUGAAAGAAUUUCUGGUCAGAGACGGUGUGUUCUUACAAUAAAAGAUGUCAUUCCAACUGAUGCUGCUACUUACUACUGUGCCUACUGGGAUCCUCACUGUGAUAGAAACUCAAAGAUCAUCAAGGCAAAAAAACACCUGCAACAUCUGAACCACAAGGUUGUAACUGUCCCAUUCCACCAGUCUUCUCACUCCAUCCGAUGUGAGCUGCUGAAAGGCCAAACCUUUUUCUGCUUCCCAAAGAGAGCAGCUAACCCUGCACAACUGUUCUUUUCAAAGUCUGGGGCAUCAUUAGGACUCCUGUCUUCAACACACAUCCACUGUUUUAAGGACAAAGGAAAUCAUCACUGCCUUAGGACCUAGCAUAUAAAUGCUGGACACUCUCCUGCUCCUUUGGUGCUGUUUGCACGCCAUGGCAGAAGUCUGGUGGCCUUUAGGGGAGCAAACAGAGAAACAUUGUUCUUCUAGUCCAGCCACUGUUCUCCCCUAGGAAAGAGAAGGCAUCAAAAGCAAGACAACAUGCUGAAGGAAGUACUACUUUGGUGGAUG